rnacentral:misc_RNA from 1 species
CGCAGGGGGAGGGGGCAGCGUCUAAUGCUGUGGUUGUCUGUCCGUCGGCGCCCCCCCCCUUUUUCUUCAACCUUGUGUUUUCUCCUCUUUUCUCGUGACAUCUCUUUUCAUCCCUGACGCUGUGUGUCGUAUCCCAUAGUGUGGGCGAGGAGACUAAAGCGACGAGGGACAACGUAGCGGAGGUGGCGAGGCUGCAAACUGCGGCCGUCACACGCAUAUCAUAGCAGAUAUAGGUGGCUGGCGGCUUCCAUGUAGUACGAGCUUUCUCCUUAUCGCUAGGCUUUUUCUUUCGUUUCUCUAUUUCCUAUCGCGCUGCUCCCCUAUCGAGAUCCCCUUUCUCGCACCCCUUCGAUAAUCCUUGGUGUAGUUCACCCACCAGCACUGUUGUGUGGUUUGUUGAUGGCGAACCCUUCAGUGGCGUGUGCCACUUGGAUGAAGCAAAGAGCAGAGACCAACAUGGACUUGGCGGCUGAUCCCGAGGGGCGCCGGGGUGCGCGCUUCAUAGCGCAGAUGCCCCGCAAAAUCGUCUUUGCUGCUGCCGUGGACACUUUUCGCCUCGACAAACUUCAUGGCACGCUCUGCCUCACUACACUGGUCUCAAUGGGUAUCCGGGCGUUCUCGCGAGCCGGCGUGCUCAUCACAGGACAGGCGGCCUCUCUCUGUGCCGGCUCAGUGCUCUUCCGGACUUUUUGGGCGUUUUGCGCGCUUCUUCAUCGGCUUAUGAUACGCUGUGCGCUUGACCAUGGCGCCUGUGGCGGAUAACACCUACACCUAUGCCCCCCUCGUCUGGGGGGGGGGCUCGCGGCCUGCAUGGUGGCUUUUUACCCAACAUUGGAAAAUCUGCUCUGGGGCUCGGCCGUGGCGGUGAGGUGGUCAGCGAGCGUGUGCGCGCAGCUGCGGGAGUGGAAGGUGCAGUGCUCGGAGUGUAUCUCCCACGCACCGACUGCGGCCGAGGACUUCCGCUUUGCCUCUUGAGGGGGUGGUGCUGAACGCGCCUACGGUGCUCAUUGGCGCUGUGGUCACGGCGGCCCUCUAAGCCGGUAUUCAGGAGUCUGCGCCGGUGGACAACAUGUUUGUGGGCAUGCAACUAGGGUUGCGCGGUCGCUCUGUCGACUACGGGUUCUGCACCACCGCGAAACACUGGGGUCUCUUCCGCAACAACCUGACUCCUUUUGCUCCCCUCCCAAUGAGGGCCCCUUUGGCCGCUUUGGUUUCAGCGGCAUCAUUCGCUGUGCCGGUGUUGCCGUCUUAGCUUACGUUAGCUUCGAUGCUAUCUGUGCCACCGCUCUGAAUGGGCACCUUGCACUAAUGCGCGGUGAUGCUGGCCCUGACCGGCAUGAUGGCUUACCACCUGCUCAGCGUCGAUGACCCAGUGUCCAAGGCGCUGGUGCACGUGCAUGUCCCGUUCCUGCGGCGCGUGCUCGCUGACACAGGCACCAUCACGGGACUGACGGCAGCGUGUUCCAUGUCGUUCUCCGCCAUGCAGCACCUCCCGCUGACCCUGGGAAAAGAGAGCCGGAUCUUCUCAGCCUUCUCUCGCAUGCGCACACUCUUACCGUGCAGUUCACAGCUUCGUUGUGCUGCGAUCGGGGCGACGCGGGCUUUUUCUGCAAGCGACGCGGCCACUGAAAGAAAAGAGCCUAAGGCACGUGUUUCGAUAACCGGCCGCAGAGGAAGGGCCCGCAGAAGCACCUAGAUGUGUAGCAUAAAACGCAAGUUGGGGGGGGGGCUAGGGCGGGUCGGGGGCGGCGGUGGUGGGCGUCGCCUUCGACUCUCUACUAACUC